rnacentral:rRNA from 1 species
AUUGAACGCUGGCGGAAUGCUUUACACAUGCAAGUCGAACGGCAGCACGGGUGCUUGCACCUGGUGGCGAGUGGCGGACGGGUGAGUAAUGCAUCGGAACGUGCCGUAUAGUGGGGGAUAACGCAUCGAAAGGUGUGCUAAUACCGCAUACGCCCUGAGGGGGAAAGUGGGGGACCGUAAGGCCUCACGCUAUACGAACGGCCGAUGUCCGAUUAGCUAGUUGGUGGGGUAAAGGCUCACCAAGGCGACGAUCGGUAGCUGGUCUGAGAGGACGACCAGCCACACUGGGACUGAGACACGGCCCAGACUCCUACGGGAGGCAGCAGUGGGGAAUUUUGGACAAUGGGGGCAACCCUGAUCCAGCCAUUCCGCGUGAGUGAAGAAGGCCUUCGGGUUGUAAAGCUCUUUUGUCAGGGAGGAAAUCCUUAGCGUUAAUACCGUUGGGGGAUGACAGUACCUGAAGAAUAAGGACCGGCUAACUACGUGCCAGCCGCCGCCGUAA